UGUCCGUGAAAUUGCUGAAGGGAACGCUUGAAGUCAGUCGCGUUGUCCGGAACUCAGCCUUGCUUUUGCUUGGUGCACUUUCCGGAUGACGGGUCAGCAUCGAUUUUGACCGUCGGAAAAGGGCUGGAGUAAUGUGGCACCUCCGGGUGUGUUAUAGACUCUGGUCGCAUACGGCGGUUGGGAUCGAGGAACGCAGCGCGCCGCAAGGCAGGGGUUCCCCCACUUUCGCGCUUAGGAUGCUGGCAUAAUGGCUUUAAACGACCCGUCUUGAAACACGGACCAAGGAGUCUAACAUACCUGCGAGUGGUUGGGUGGAAAACCCGAGCGCGUAAUGAAAGUGAAAGUUGAGAUCCCUGUCGUGGGGAGCAUCGACGCCCGGACCAGACGUUCUCUGACGGAUCCGCGGUAGAGCAUGUAUGUUGGGACCCGAAAGAUGGUGAACUAUGCCUGAAUAGGGUGAAGCCAGAGGAAACUCUGGUGGAGGCUCGUAACGAUUCUGACGUGCAAAUCGAUCGUCAAAUUUGGGUAUAGGGGCGAAAGACUAAUCGAACCAUCUAGUAGCUGGUUCCUGCCGAAGUUUCCCUCAGGAUAA
rnacentral:rRNA from 1 species